ensembl:lncRNA
AGGGGAUCCAUGCCUGGAGAUGACCUGUGUCAUCAGGGCAGAUGGGGCCUUUGUGGAACAGUUGUUUUGGAACUAGAGCUGGUUGGCUGGUUGGUUUUGGUAAGUCUAAAUGCAGAAGAAAUCAUAUUGCUAUAUAGUAUAUUGUUUAAUGGUUAAUUAACCUUUUCUUUAAAAAACUUUUGUUUCUGGUGUGAAUUUGCAUGGCAGGCAUCUGCCUUCGGGUCUCAUUGUUGCUUGUACCCUGUGCUGGGCCCUCCGUGUGUCAGACUGAGCUUUCCAAGGCUGUUGCAUAGGUGUAUUUCCAGUUCUGUAACCUUCCUCAUGCCUGUGCUUUGACUCUCCUCCUGCUUUUUAACACCUUCCUUGAUCUGUAGAUACCUGAAUUACACUGAAAGAUUUUUUCUGAAGUGCACUCCAGAUGAACAAUUCAGGCAGACCCUGCUGCAGACUGCAUUAAACAGGAGAUCUCACAGGUUUCCAUUGGUUUCCAUCUAAUGAUGUGCUAGCCCAUCGUUAGGAUUUCCUUAAUCCCUAGCACAGACAUACUGGACCUAAAGACAGACAGAAGGUAAGGAUCAGUGGUGUUAGGGACCUGCCCACACCUCUCUGUUUGCAGAAGAAUUGUCUUGACUGGUGAGACUGGACUGCAUUGAGUAGUAUAGAGGGAAUGACUUAGGGGAGUACUAAUGCUGUUCAAGGUUACUGUUCUUACCAGAAACAAGUAAUAGAAAUGUUAACAGGAAAGUUCUCUGGAGCAUAAUAGCUUUACAUCACUUCAUCUUCUGACUGGUAGUCAGAGCAACAGCACUACCAGACAGGGGAGAAGGCUUAGGGAUGGCACAAGGAAAGACUCAGGAUACAACUUGAACUGCAAACUGGGAGACUUUUCCAGCAUAGGAGAGCUUCCCAUAUGUCAUACAGUGCAUUGCCUCCAAAACAAUAUUUUUUACGAGAAUAGAUUUCUGUCAUUUUGACUUCUGGAACCAGCUUAUUGCAGGAUUAUGUGGAUACCAGCACUGGCACAAAGGAUGCAGUAGGAGGGGUGGAGGACUACAGGACAACUUCCUUCAGGUCACUUAUAAUACACCCUUCAGAUGGGGGAGAUGAAAUAAUAGCCAGAGAAGGAUGGGUGCGGGGUGUAGGAACUUCUGAUUCUAUCUGCUAGUCCAAACAUAAUCUGAAAGUAAGCACCUAAGCUUGCUUAAAAAUAAAACGUGAAAAACUAAGCCCUCCAGAGACCCAAAAUCUGACCCAAAUCUAACUCUGCAUGUGGUAUGUCUAAAGCACUUUAUAAAUCUCUUAACCCAAAUAUGUUGCUAUCUGAACUGGAAAGACUUUGAAAUGCAAUGCCUUUGAGUAUCCAGGAGAGCUAUUUGUGCACACAUCUUUAUAUGCUAGUUUAUAGGAAUAUUGUUCUUAUAUAUAAGGACAUUGUAAUAUUAAACUUAACCUGUGUUACUGAGCGAUACUGGGAUUAUGUUACCUUUAUUGCAGUGCUACACAAAAUAAUUCACUUGUCCUUAUUUUCACUGAUUUAGAGGCUACAAC